rfam:Aedes aegypti strain Liverpool supercont1.238 genomic scaffold, whole genome shotgun sequence.
UGCCCAGCAACUCCUAUCCCUAUCUCCUCGCGGUAUUGGCCGGAGUACGAGUGACCUUAGGGAAGAUAGGGUAACCAACCCUGGUGGGAACUCUGGUCGUAUGCUGACAGGGAAGG